rnacentral:lncRNA from 1 species
CUCUUUUACCGAAACGAAAAUCCAUCGCUUUGGCUGGACUCGCAUCGUCGUUUCAGUAAAAAAAAAAAAAAAAAAAAGAGUAUGAGGCUUUUUACCUUUUUUCACUACCAGUGAUUCUGUCGGUCCAUCUCCGGAAUACCCAGAUCUGAUUUUGGGAUUCUACGACCACACAUCACGUGAAAAAAAGUUUUCUCUACGAGUACAAUAAGGCAGAAUUUCCCAACAGUGCAAGGAAUCUUUUCUG